rnacentral:misc_RNA from 1 species
UUGAAGGUGAUACAGGGUGCUCAAUCUGGCCAUCAGGUCUGUUCCUUUCAGAGUUCAUACUUUCUUUUCCAGAAGUGUUCUCGGACAAAUCUUGUCUUGAGGUUGGUUCGGGUGUUGGAUUGGUUGGUGUCUGUCUAGCUCAGACAAAUUGCUCCAAGGUAAUACUUACAGAUGGUGACUUAUCAACUUUAGCAAACAUGAAUCUCAACUUGGAGUUAAAUCAGCUGGGCACUGAUAUGUUAGGACAUACACAAAGAAACAACACGUUGCAGUGCUUGUAUUUGCCAUGGGAGUCUGCCGCAGAAAAUGAGCUACGUGAAUUCAUGCCAGAUAUAGUUUUGGGUGCAGAUGUGAUAUAUGAUCCACUGUGCCUCCCUCACCUUGUUCGAGUCCUCGCGAUUCUUUUGAAGCGGGAAGAUCUCAACGUAAGUCAUUUAAAUAAUGGCUGCAAGGACUCCUAUCCACCUGACCGGAGAUGUUUUGAGAGUGAAGAAACUAGUUCAGCAGGUG